rnacentral:tRNA from 2 species
GGGUCGUUAGCUCAGUUGGUAGAGCAGUUGACUUUUAAUCAAUUGGUCGCAGGUUCGAAUCCGGCACGACCCACCA